ACCCAAUGUCUUUUGUCAGGACACCUUCCUUUCUUUUUUCAUGGAGGCCGUCUGUUACAGCGUUGGGAUAUCAAUCACGCCACACUCGUCUGUCAUUGACUCCUAGUUGGUGGCUUGGUGUGUGCCGUUCUGGCACUAUCAUGAGUUGGUUUGUGUGUUCGAUGAGUUGAAAUUUCCAUAUCCUUACUGGAAAUUUGACUGGAGAUUUCUUAGUGAUGACACACACAUUA
rnacentral:snoRNA from 1 species